rnacentral:rRNA from 1 species
UACAGAGGUCUCAAGCGUUGUUCGGAUUCAUUGGGCGUAAAGGGUGCGUAGGCGGCGCGGUAAGUCGGGUGUGAAAUCUCGGAGCUUAACUCCGAAACUGCAUUCGAUACUGCCGUGCUUGAGGACUGGAGAGGAGACUGGAAUUUACGGUGUAGCGGUGAAAUGCGUAGAUAUCGUAAGGAAGACCAGUGGCGAAGGCGGGUCUCUGGACAGUUCCUGACGUGAGGAGCGAAAGUGUGGGGAGCGAACAGG